ACGAACGCUGGCGGCGUGCCUAAUACAUGCAAGUAGAACGCACAGUUUAUACCGUAGCUUGCUACACCAUAGACUGUGAGUUGCGAACGGGUGAGUAACGCGUAGGUAACCUGCCUGGUAGCGGGGGAUAACUAUUGGAAACGAUAGCUAAUACCGCAUAAUAUUGAUUAUUGCAUGAUAAUUGAUUGAAAGAUGCUAUUGCAUCACUACCAGAUGGACCUGCGUUGUAUUAGCUAGUAGGUGAGGUAACGGCUCACCUAGGCGACGAUACAUAGCCGACCUGAGAGGGUGAUCGGCCACACUGGGACUGAGACACGGCCCAGACUCCUACGGGAGGCAGCAGUAGGGAAUCUUCGGCAAUGGACGAAAGUCUGACCGAGCAACGCCGCGUGAGUGAAGAAGGUUUUCGGAUCGUAAAGCUCUGUUGUAAGAGAAGAACGGGUGUGAGAGUGGAAAGUUCACACUGUGACGGUAGCUUACCAGAAAGGGACGGCUAACUACGUG
rnacentral:rRNA from 1 species